CAAAGCACUUUGAAGAGAGAGUUAAAGAGGACGUGAAACCGGUAAGGUGGAAACGGAUAGAGCCGGCGAAUCUGGCUUGUAUUCAGCUCGGGGGCGUGGUGCUCGGGUGUUCUGUAUCCAGCAAUGGUGCGGAGCAUUUACAACUUCUAUGUUCCUGGGUGCAUUUGCGAGUGGAGUGCGCUGAGGGCCGUGGGUGCAGCGGUUGGAAGCGGGAGGAGAGGCUAAGCUUCGGCUUCGUACCUACUCUCGUGGAAGGCUGUUUGCCCUGUGGUACAAAAGGGUAAGGCCUACGUGAUAGGUGGGUUGCAUUGGGUGUUCUCGCGGCGGUCGCAUGCGACACGUGCUUGUUUCGCUUCUUGCAGUUUAUCAUUCACUCUUAUCCACCCUCGGUGUAAAAGCUGGUCAUCUAUCCGACCCGUCUUGAAACACGGACCAAGGAGUUUAGCGUGUACGCGAGUCAUUGAGUGCGAAACUCAUAGGCGCAAUGAAAGUAAAGGCCAUUCACUUGGUUGAUGUGCGACGGGAUGAACUACGGUUCAACCCAGCAGCACAGCCCCGUCCCGAUUGCUUGCAAUGGGGCGGAGGUAGGGCGUAUUCGCUGAGACCCGAAAGAUGGUGAACUAUUCCUGAGCAGGAUGAAGCCAGAGGAAACUCUGGUGGAAGUCCGAAGCGGUUCUGACGUGCAAAUCGAUCGUCUGACUUGGGUAUAGGGGCGAAAGACUAAUCGAACCAUC
rnacentral:rRNA from 1 species